CGCGAUGACGCUGGCGGCAGGCCUAACACAUGCAAGUCGAGCGGUAGAGAGAAGCUUGCUUCUCUUGAGAGCGGCGGACGGGUGAGUAAUACCUAGGAAUCUGCCUGGUAGUGGGGGAUAACGUUCGGAAACGGACGCUAAUACCGCAUACGUCCUACGGGAGAAAGCAGGGGACCUUCGGGCCUUGCGCUAUCAGAUGAGCCUAGGUCGGAUUAGCUUGUUGGUGAGGUAAUGGCUCACCAAGGCGACGAUCCGUAACUGGUCUGAGAGGAUGAUCAGUCACACUGGAACUGAGACACGGUCCAGACUCCUACGGGAGGCAGCAGUGGGGAAUAUUGGACAAUGGGCGAAAGCCUGAUCCAGCCAUGCCGCGUGUGUGAAGAAGGUCUUCGGAUUGUAAAGCACUUUAAGUUGGGAGGAAGGGCAUUAACCUAAUACGUUGGUGUCUUGACGUUACCGACAGAAUAAGCACCGGCUAACUCUGUGCCAGCAGCCGCGGUAAUACAGAGGGUGCAAGCGUUAAUCGGAAUUACUGGGCGUAAAGCGCGCGUAGGUGGUUCGUUAAGUUGGAUGUGAAAUCCCCGGGCUCAACCUGGGAACUGCAUUCAAAACUGACGAGCUAGAGUAUGGUAGAGGGUGGUGGAAUUUCCUGUGUAGCGGUGAAAUGCGUAGAUAUAGGAAGGAACACCAGUGGCGAAGGCGACCACCUGGACUGAUACUGACACUGAGGUGCGAAAGCGUGGGGAGCAAACAGGAUUAGAUACCCUGGUAGUCCACGCCGUAAACGAUGUCAACUAGCCGUUGGGAGCCUUGAGCUCUUAGUGGCGCAGCUAACGCAUUAAGUGACCGCCUGG
rnacentral:rRNA from 1 species